rnacentral:rRNA from 1 species
CCUACGGGAGGCAGCAGUGAGGAAUAUUGGUCAAUGGUCGCGAGACUGAACCAGCCAAGCCGCGUGAAGGAUGACUGUCCUGCGUAUUGUAAACCUCUUUUAUCAAGGAACAAAGACUGGCACGCGUCCCCUUUUGAGUGUACCUUAUGAAUAAGCAUCGGCUAACUCCGUGCCAGCAGCCGCGGUAAUACGGAGGAUCCGAGCGUUAUCCGGAUUUAUUGGGUUUAAAGGGUGCGGAGGUGGGUUGUUAAGUCAGGUGUGAAAGUUUGCGGCUCAACCGUAGAAUUGCAUUUGAUACUGGCAGUCUUGAGUAGAGGUGAGGUAGGCGGAAUGCGUGGUGUAGCGGUGAAAUGCAUAGAUAUCGCGAAGAACUCCGAUUGCGAAGGCAGCUUGCUAGACUGCCACUGACGUUGAUGCUCGAAAGUGUGGGUAUCAAACAGGAUUAGAUACCCGGGUAGUC